UCUAGCAUAACCUUUAAAACAUUUGAUUCAAUUCUUUGUAGCCAAUUCAUGUCAUGCAGAAUUUCAUGAACCGACUACGCCUAGGAUUGACACGAAAACCGAGACCGUGAUCUAACUACAGAUGUUAUUGCGAUCAACAUACAGUAUACCAAUUCUUGUUAUGCAGAAUGAUUUCAACUCUGUUGUGGAUUUUAGAUGCUCAGGUGUCAAAUCCAAGAUGGUCAAUGGGAGACAGCUACUAUUUUUUUCACUUUUACCAAGUAGACGACACAUUGAAAGCAAAUAAAAGCACUAGACAUGAUUCAUACCAUAUAUCCCCAACCACCAACGAUCAAGAGAGGAAUUUAUACUGAUGGUUACUCAAGAUUUUGUCUGUCAUCAAAUUAACACGCUGAACGCAAUUUGCCAAUCAAGGUGCGAGUUAUCGCUUACAUUUUUUCGUCAUUCAAGAAUCAAGAAUAACCUAUUGCUGAUAUAGCAUAUAACAUAAUACAGCCAAAAUCUAUAUGGGUUAUAUUUGUGAGAAAAACUUUUGAACCCAGAAUGCUAGAAUUGGAAGGCAGAAAUUUUAACCACCAACAAUUUUUUAUAUUUUUUUUUUAGUAAAUAGUUAGUAGUAUUGUUUGUAUUAUCUCAGUCAUGUUUUACUUAGAAUAUCAAUGCACCAGCAAACAACCCAAGGGUGAUACUGGUCUUUAGC